UACGUGAGGGGCGAACGUUGUUCGGUGUCACUGGGCUUAAAGGGCUCGUAGGCGGCCAACUAAGUCGGAUGUGAAAUCCCCAGGCUUAACCUGGGAACUGCAUCCGAUACUGGAUGGCUUGAAUCCGGGAGAGGGAUGCAGAAUUCCAGGUGUAGCGGUGAAAUGCGUAGAUAUCUGGAGGAAUACCGGUGGCGAAGGCGGCAUCCUGGACCGGCAUUGACGCUGAGGAGCGAAAGCUAGGGGAGCAAACGGG
rnacentral:rRNA from 1 species